rnacentral:pre_miRNA from 1 species
UAGACAGAUUAUUGUAUUCGACUAUAUUCACGGUGUAGAAUACGGGAUUACACUAUUUUUAAAUGAAAAGUGAAUCAAUUAACAUAAUAGACUCCU